rnacentral:rRNA from 1 species
UUGAAAAGAACUUUGAAGAGAGAGUUCAAGAGUACGUGAAACCGUUCAGGGGUAAACCUAAGAAACCCAAAAGAUCGAACGGGGAGAUUCAUCGUCAGCGACGCUGGCUUCGCGUCGGCGGGCGAUGUCCCGCGCGAGUCCUCGCGGCUCGCGCGCGGGCACGCUGCCGUGCGUUCGACGUCCGGCGUUCGUCGUCGUGCACUUCUCCCCUAGUAGAACGUCGCGACCCGCUGGGUGUCGGUCUACGGCCCGGGUGCGGUGGCUGACGCGUCGCCGGUAAAACGGCACGCGUCAAACCCCCGGUCGCCCGGCCGGCUGCCCGGCGGUACACGCAAGGUAUCAGGCCGCACUUUUUUCUCGUGGAAACGCGCUCGCGCGCGCCCGUUCACCUCGGUGUGCGAGCGCGUGUGUGUCGCGCGGACCGCUUGUGCGUCGAGGCCGUCGCAAGCGCGCGCCACGGUACACGGAGGCUUAACGGACCUCGUGCCGUCACCGGUCCUGGCCCGCUGUUGGUCGCACGGUUAACCUUCGACAGGCCUGCGAACGUCCCGCGCCCCCGGCCACCCUUCAUCCGUGGGGGGAGGUCGCGCGCGGGGCCGAUACCGGUCGGCGACGCUACUGCUUUGGGUACUCUUAGGACCCGUCUUGAAACACGGACCAAGGAGUCUAACAUGUACGCGAGUCAUUGGGACUUGUCGCGAGACCUAAAGGCGUAAUGAAAGUGAAGGUCGGCCCUGGCCGUCGACCGAGGGAGGAUGGGCCGCGUCGCGAUGCGGCCUCGCACUCCCGGGGCGUCUCGUUCUCAUCGCGAGAAGAGGCGCACCCAGAGCGUACACGUUGGGACCCGAAAGAUGGUGAACUAUGCCUGGUCAGGACGAAGUCAGGGGAAACCCUGAUGGAGGUCCGUAGCGAUUCUGACGUGCAAAUCGAUCGUCGGAACUGGGUAUAGGGGCGAAAGACUAAUCGAACCAUCUAGUAGCUGGUUCCCUCCGAAGUUUCCCUCAGGAUAGCUGGCACUCGGCCGUUCCGCACGGAACGCGCGCGAGUCUCAUCUGGUAAAGCGAAUGAUUAGAGGCCUUGGGGCCGAAACGACCUCAACCUAUUCUCAAACUUUAAAUGGGUGAGAUCUCUGGCUUUCUUGAAUUAUGAAGCCACGAGCAUCUCGGAUCAGAGUGCCAAGUGGGCCAUUUUUGGUAAGCAGAACUGGCGCUGUGGGAUGAACCAAACGCAGAGUUAAGGCGCCCAACUCGACGCUCAUGGGACACCAUGAAAGGCGUUGGUUGCUUAAGACAGCAGGACGGUGGCCAUGGAAGUCGGAAUCCGCUAAGGAGUGUGUAACAACUCACCUGCCGAAGCAACUAGCCCUGAAAAUGGAUGGCGCUGAAGCGUCGAGCCUAUACUCUGCCGUCAGCGGCAAGUGGGGCGGCCGCGCGAAGGCUGAGAGGGGGAAGGAUUUAUUCUCCCUCUCUCUCCUUGCGCGCCGCCACGAAGCCCUGACGAGUAGGAGGGUCGCGGCGGUGUGCGCAGAAGGGUCU